GAUGAACGCUAGCUACAGGCUUAACACAUGCAAGUCGAGGGGAAACGACAUCGAAAGCUUGCUUUUGAUGGGCGUCGACCGGCGCACGGGUGAGUAACGCGUAUCCAACCUGCCCAUCACUUGGGAAUAACCUUGCGAAAGUAAGACUAAUACCCAAUGACAUCCCACGAAGACAUCUGAAUGGGAUUAAAGAUUUAUCGGUGAUGGAUGGGGAUGCGUCUGAUUAGCCUGUUGGCGGGGUAACGGCCCACCAAGGCAACGAUCAGUAGGGGUUCUGAGAGGAAGGUCCCCCACAUUGGAACUGAGACACGGUCCAAACUCCUACGGGGGGCAGCAGUGAGGAAUAUUGGUCAAUGGGCGAGAGCCUGAACCAGCCAAGUAGCGUGCAGGAGGACGGCCCUAUGGGUUGUAAACUGCUUUUAUAAGGGAAUAAAGUGGGUCUCGUGAGACUUUUUGCAUGUACCUUAUGAAUAAGGACCGGCUAAUUCCGUG
rnacentral:rRNA from 1 species